rnacentral:sRNA from 1 species
AUGCAAAUUGAAGGUCCACUUGGCUUGAGGACAGAGGAAGAGCGAGCUGGGGAAAGAAACGUCUGAGUGGCGGAGCAGGAUAACUCUGAGGCCAGCUAAAGGCGACACUUGACAGCCAUGUGUGGAUAAGAUGUCCGCGAUCGCUGGAGUGUCCAGAAAGAGAAAUGCACCAAAGGGCUGACUUUUCUUUGUGCCUGCUUCAAUUCCUUGUUAUUUUUCUGGGGUGCUGAUUCAAUGGUCGGUGUUCUAGGAGCCAUUGUAGACCUCCAGAAAGAACAUGGAUCUGGAAGUCUCGGGCUACGUGUGUAAGAACAGAAGCCCUGGACCUUCUGUCUGUGGGGGUCACAGAUUUCAUGUAUGUUUUCAAUUUUACUCCAACACUGACUUUGUGAAGGCAAUGUGUGCAUUGGUGUGUUAGUGGCAUGCUAAGGUGAGAGAGAAAGCAUGUAUUAGUAUGAUAAUGACAUGCUAAGGAGAGAGGGAGGACAUGUAUUAGUA